rnacentral:rRNA from 1 species
GACGAACGCUGGCGGCGUGCUUAACACAUGCAAGUCGAACGGAAAGGCCCUGCUUGCAGGGUACUCGAGUGGCGAACGGGUGAGUAACACGUGGGUGAUCUGCCCUGCACUUCGGGAUAAGCCUGGGAAACUGGGUCUAAUACCGGAUAGGAGCCAUUUUUAGUGUGAUGGUUGGAAAGUUUUUUCGGUGUAGGAUGAGCUCGCGGCCUAUCAGCUUGUUGGUGGGGUAAUGGCCUACCAAGGCGGCGACGGGUAGCCGGCCUGAGAGGGUGGACGGCCACAUUGGGACUGAGAUACGGCCCAGACGCCGACGGGAGGCAGCAGUGGGGAAGAUUGCACAAGGGGCGCAAGCCUGAUGCAGCGACGCCGCGGGGGGGAUGACGGCCUUCGGGUUGUAAACUCCUUUCGCUAGGGACGAAGCUUUUUGUGACGGUACCUAGAUAAGAAGCACCGGCUAACUACGUG